UACAGAGGUCUCAAGCGUUGUUCGGAAUCAUUGGGCGUAAAGCGCACGUAGGCGGUUCGUUAUGUCGGAUGUGAAAGCCCUUGGCUUAACCGAGGAAGUGCAUCCGAAACUGGCGAGCUAGAGUACUAAAGAGGAUCGCGGAAUUCCCGGUGUAGAGGUGAAAUUCGUAGAUAUCGGGAGGAACACCGGUGGCGAAGGCGGCGAUCUGGGUAGAUACUGACGCUGAGGUGCGAAAGCGUGGGGAGCAAACAGG
rnacentral:rRNA from 1 species